rnacentral:rRNA from 1 species
GUACCCGCUGAACUUAAGCAUAUCAAUAAGCGGAGGAAAAGAAACCAACCGGGAUUGCCUUAGUAACGGCGAGUGAAGCGGCAAAAGCUCAAAUUUGAAAUCUGGUACCUUCGGUGCCCGAGUUGUAAUUUGGAGAGGGCAACUUUGGGGCCGUUCCUUGUCUAUGUUCCUUGGAACAGGACGUCAUAGAGGGUGAGAAUCCCGUGUGGCGAGGAGUGCGGUUCUUUGUAAAGUGCCUUCGAAGAGUCGAGUUGUUUGGGAAUGCAGCUCUAAGUGGGUGGUAAAUUCCAUCUAAAGCUAAAUAUUGGCGAGAGACCGAUAGCGAACAAGUACAGUGAUGGAAAGAUGAAAAGAACUUUGAAAAGAGAGUGAAAAAGUACGUGAAAUUGUUGAAAGGGAAGGGCAUUUGAUCAGACAUGGUGUUUUGUGCCCUCUGCUCCUUGUGGGUAGGGGAAUCUCGCAUUUCACUGGGCCAGCAUCAGUUUUGGUGGCAGGAUAAAUCCAUAGGAAUGUAGCUUGCCUCGGUAAGUAUUAUAGCCUGUGGGAAUACUGCCAGCUGGGACUGAGGACUGCGACGUAAGUCAAGGAUGCUGCAUA